GGGCGCUUAGCUCAGCGGUAGAGCACUUCCUUCACACGGAAGGGGUCACAAGUUCGAUCCUUGUAGCGCCCACCA
rnacentral:tRNA from 1 species